CAGAAGCACAGAUCUAUGGGGCAGAGUCCCAGAUCUAUGGGGCAGGAAGCGAUCUACAGGGCGCUGGGGGGAUCUGUGGGGCAGGAAGCCACCUAUGGGGCAGAAGCACAGGUCUAUGGGGCAGAGCCACAGAUCUAUGGGGCAGGAAGUGAUCUAUGGGGAGCUGGAGGGAAUCUGUGGGGCAGAGGCACAGAUUUAUGGGGCAGGAAGCCAUCUGUGGGGCAGAGCCACAUAUCUAUGGGGCAGGAAGCCAUCUAUGGGGCAGAGGCACAGAUCUAUGGGGCAGGAAGCCAUCUAUGGGGCAGAGCCAUAGAUCUAUGGGGCGCUGGGACGAUCUAUGGGGCAGAAGCACAGCUCUAUGGGGCAGGAAGCGAUCUAUGGGGCAGAAGCACAGCUCUGUGGGGCAGGAAGCAAUCCGUGGGGCAGGAAGCACAGAUCUAUGGGGCAGGAAACAAUCCGUGGGGCAGAGCCGCAGAUCUAUGGGGCAGAAGCACAGCUCUAUGGGGCAGGAAGCGAUCCGUGGGGCAGAAACACAGAUCUAUGGGGCAGAGCCGCAGAUCUAUGGGGCAGAAGCACAGCUCUAUGGGGCAGGAAGCGAUCCGUGGGGCAGAAGCACAGCUCUAUGGGGCAGGAAGCGAUCUAUGGGGCAGAGGCACAGAUCUAUGGGGCAGGAAGCAAUCCGUGGGGAAGAAGCACAGAUCUAUGGGGCACUGGGGCGAUCUGUGGGGCAGAAGCACAGAUCUAUGGGGCAGAGCUUUUCCCCCCCGCCCCACAAGUGUGGGUCCAGCCCCACUGAUUUCCCCCCCCCCCUUUUUCCCGCCCCAUAGGCAGGAGCCGGCAGCAGCCAUGGAUGUGGGGCCGCCCCCCGAGCGCCCCCCAGACCCCGAGGUAACGCCCCAUAAGUGUGGGGCGGGGAUGUGGGGCGGGGAUGUGGGGCGGGUUGUGGGGUGGGGGGUGGGGGGGGGCCCUUCCCUGCGCCCCACAAGUGCCGUUCCUCUGCCCCACAGCGGGAUCUUGGGGGGCGGGGAGAGGGGGGGGGUCACUUAUGGGGCAGCCCCACACAUUUCUGAUGGACUUUGGGAUCACUUAUGGGGCGGCCCCACACAUUUCCGUGGACUUUGGGAUCGUUUAUGGGGCAGCCCCACAGAUUUCAAUGGACUUUGGGAUCACUUAUGGGGCAGCCCCACACAUUUUGAUGGACUUUAGGAUCACUUAUGGGGUGGCCCCACGCAUUUCCGUGGACUUUGGGAUCACUUAUGGGGCAGCCCCACACAUUUCCGUGGACUUUGGGAUCACUUAUGGGGCAGCCCCACACUUAUGGGGCGGCCCCACAGCUGGAAGAACCCCAGAACCGCUUAUGGGGCGGCCCCACACAUUUCUGAUGGACUUUGGGAUCACUUAUGGGGCGGCCCCACACUUACGGGGCGGCCCCACACAUUUCUGAUGGACCCCCAACUCCACUUAUGGGGCAGAGAUGAACCUCCAGCUCCACUUAUGGGGCAGCCCCAUGGAUUUGCGACCCCCACUUAUGGGGCUGAGGUGAACUUCGGACCCCGACGCCACUUAUGGGGCAGAGACUGAACCCCAGUGUUACUUAUGGGGCAGAAGCUGAACCUUACGCCACUUAUGGGGCAGAGAGCGACCCCCAACUCCACUUAUGGGGCAGAGAACGACCCCCAACUCCACUUAUGGGGCAGAGACGGAGCCCCGGUGUUACUUAUGGGGCAGGAGAAGACCUUCAACUGCACUUAUGGGGCAGAAACUGACCCCCAGCGCCACUUAUGGGGCAGCCGCCGACCUCCUAACCCCACUUAUGGGGCAGAGACUGACCCAUAUUUUUACUUAUGGGGCAGAGACCGACUCACUACGCCACUUAUGGGGCAGGAGAAGACCCCCCAUUCUCACUUAUGGGGCAGAGAUCGAACUCCAAUGCUACUUAUGGGGCAGAGACUGAACCCUAACGCCACUUAUGGGGCAGAAACCAACCCGCGUUGCAACUUAUGGGGCAGGAGAGGACCCCUAACACCACUUAUGGGGCAGAAGCUGACCCCCUACUGCACUUAUGGGGCAGAGCCUGACCUUGAAGCCACUUAUGGGGCAGAAAACAACCCCCAACUCCACUUAUGGGGCAGAAAUCGACCCCCAACUCCACUUAUGGGGCAGGAAGAGCUCCCACCUCCACUUAUGGGGCAGAAAUCGACCCCCA
rnacentral:lncRNA from 1 species